CAGCAGCCGCGGUAAUACGAAGGGUGCAAGCGUUACUCGGAAUUACUGGGCGUAAAGCGUGCGUAGGUGGUGGUUUAAGUCCGUUGUGAAAGCCCUGGGCUCAACCUGGGAAUUGCAGUGGAUACUGGGUCACUAGAGUGUGGUAGAGGAUAGUGGAAUUUCCGGUGUAGCAGUGAAAUGCGUAGAGAUCGGAAGGAACAUCUGUGGCGAAGGCGACUAUCUGGGCCAACACUGACACUGAGGCACGAAAGCGUGGGGAGCAAACAGGAUUAGAUACCCCCGUAGUCCUGUCUCUUAUACA
rnacentral:rRNA from 1 species